UUUUGACCUCGGAUCAGGUAGGGAUACCCGCUGAACUU
rnacentral:rRNA from 1 species